rnacentral:rRNA from 1 species
UACGUAGGGUGCGAGCGUUAAUCGGAAUUACUGGGCGUAAAGUGUGCGCAGGCGGCAGAGCAAGUCGAGUGUGAAAGCCCCGGGCUUAACUUGGGAAUUGCGCUCGAAACUACUUUGCUGGAGUGUGGCAGAGGAAGGUGGAAUUCCACGUGUAGCGGUGAAAUGCGUAGAGAUGUGGAGGAACACCAAUGGCAAAGGCAGCCUUCUGGGCCAACACUGACGCUCAUGCACGAAAGCGUGGGGAGCAAACAGG